rnacentral:siRNA from 1 species
CUGGUGGUGCCCUUCCGUC